GACGAACGCUGGCGGCGUGCUUAACACAUGCAAGUCGAACGAAGUGGCGAACGGGUGAGUAACGCGUAAUCAACCUGCCCUCCUUUUUGGGAUAAGCCUUGGAAACGGGGUCUAAUACCGAAUAAAGGGGGAUGGGCUCGCGGCCUAUCAGCUUGUUGGUGGGGUGAUGGCCUACCAAGGCGGUGACGGGUAGCCGGCCUGAGAGGGGGACCGGCACCAUUGGGACUGAGAUAAGGCCCAGACUCCUACGGGAGGCAGCAGUGGGGAAUCUUCCGCAAUGGACGAAAGUCUGACGGAGGAACGCCGCGGGGGUGAUGACGGCCUUCGGGUUGUAAAGCUCUGUUAAUCGGGACGCGGUACCGGAAUAGAAAGCCACGGCUAACUACGUGCCAGCAGCCGCGGUAAUUC
rnacentral:rRNA from 1 species